rnacentral:hammerhead_ribozyme from 1 species
AUCUAGCUGACGAGUCCCAAACAGGACGAAACGCGCGUCAAACUGGAU